CUUCCAAAUGGGAAAAACAAGUCUGAACCUUGGCAACUCCUAGGGAAAGCAGAAUUCUUUUUUCUCUCCCUCCUACUCUCCUGAUAUGUAAUCUGGAGAAAACCAUCUUAGCAGUUGGGCAAAUAGGAGUGCCAAUUGAUAGCCCAAGGAGAACUGGGUGGAAUGUGAAUGGAGACACAUGAGAGAAGCCCCAGCUGACACAAGAGAGAAAAGGGACCAGCUGCACCAGCUUGGAAAAAGAUGGAGUGAGGUGUGGUAUGACAAGCACCGUAGCAAACAAAGUUGGGUGGCAGAGCAAUGAUAG